AACGAACGCUGGCGGCAUGCCUAACACAUGCAAGUCGAACGAGACCUUCGGGUCUAGUGGCGCACGGGUGCGUAACGCGUGGGAACCUGCCCUUAGGUUCGGAAUAACUCCUCGAAAGGGGUGCUAAUACCGGAUAAUGUCUUCGGACCAAAGAUUUAUCGCCUUUGGAUGGGCCCGCGUUGGAUUAGCUAGUUGGUGAGGUAAGAGCUCACCAAGGCGACGAUCCAUAGCUGGUCUUAGAGGAUGAUCAGCCACACUGGGACUGAGACACGGCCCAGACUCCUACGGGAGGCAGCAGUGGGGAAUAUUGGACAAUGGGCGCAAGCCUGAUCCAGCAAUGCCGCGUGAGUGAUGAAGGCCUUAGGGUUGUAAAGCUCUUUUACCCGGGAUGAUAAUGACAGUACCGGGAGAAUAAGCCCCGGCUAACUCCGUG
rnacentral:rRNA from 1 species